rnacentral:misc_RNA from 1 species
GGAAGGAUCAUUAGAAAUUUUAUGUAUUCAAAAAUUUUAAAUCUUUUUUAAUCUAAAAAAUUUAUAAAUUAAUUAUGAGACAACUUUCAACAACGGAUCUCUUGGCUCUUGCAUCGAUGAAGAACGCAGCGAAAUGCGAUAAGUAAUGUGAAUUGCAGAAUUCCGUGAAUCAUCAAAUCUUUGAACGCAAAUUGCACUCUUUGGUAUUCCGAGGAGUAUGCUUGCUUGAGGGUUGUUCCAAUAAAAUCGUUUUUUUAAAAACGGAUCUGAGUUUUCCAAUUUUGUUAUUGGUAAUUUUAAAUUGAUCUUGACGAUAUCUUUGGUAUGAUAUUGGAAAUGGUUAUAUUCUUACAUCUCGUGAGUUUCAUUAACAAUUGAUUACCUGUCGUUACGUCGUAUCAUUUACCCGAUCCUUUUUUAAUUGGGUUAGAUGAUACAAAUUUUCUUUCAACACCUCAAGUCAAGUAAGAAUACCCGCUGAACUUAAGCAUAUCAAUAAGCGGAGGAAAAGAAACUAACAAGGAUUCCCUUAGUAACGGCGAGUGAAGUGGGAAGAGCUCAAAUUUUAAAUCUCCGAGGUUUCCUUGGCGAGUUGUAAUUUGAAGAGAGUGUUUUGACAUUCAGGUUUAAUUUAAAUCCUUUGGGAUAAGGUAUCAUAGAGGGUGAGAAUCCCGUUUAUGAUUAAAUCUCGAGUGUCGCUUAAUUCACUUUCCAAGAGUCGAGUUGUUUGGGAUUGCAGCUCAAAACGGGUGGUAAAUUUCACCUAAGGCUAAAUAUGUGCAAGAGACCGAUAGCGAACAAGUACCGUGAGGGAAAGAUGAAAGAACUUUGAAAAGAGAGUUAAAUAGUACGUGAAAUUGUUGAAAGGGAAACGAUUGAAGUCAGUCAUGCUAGUGAGGAAUCAACUUGAUGGUGUGUGGGUUCUCUCGCAUACUUUCCGGUGCACUUCCUUGCUCGGCAGGUUAGCAUCAAUUUCGGUUAUCAUAAAAAUUUGAGGGAAUGUGGCUUUUCUUCGGAAAAGUGUUAUAGACCUUGAUCGAUGUGGUGACCGGGAUUGAGGAUUGCAGCGGAUACCCUCGUGGCUUAUCACCUGGCUUCUGACGGUUACCCGCUUUCGACAGCUCGCUAACGUUAGUGGGACUCGAUUGUCUAGAUGUCAGAGUGAUUUAUAUUCGCUAAGGAUGCUGACGUAAUGGCUUUAAACGACCCGUCUUGAAACACGGACCAAGGAGUCUAACAUGUGUGCGAGUGUUUGGGUUUUCAAACCCGGAACGCGUAAUGAAAGUAAUCUUGGUGGGAACCCCUCGGGGUGCACCAUCGACCGAUCAGGAUAUUUUUUGAUAGAUUUGAGUAAGAGCACAUCUGUUGGGACCCGAAAGAUGGUGAACUAUGCCUGAAUAGGGUGAAGCCAGAGGAAACUCUGGUGGAAGCUCGUAGCGGUUCUGACGUGCAAAUCGAUCGUCAAAUUUGGGUAUAGGGGCGAAAGACUAAUCGAACCAUCUAGUAGCUGGUUCCUGC